AAUCCCUAGUUCCUAUUCCUGACUCCACUUUCCUGCUGAUGCAGACUCGGGGAAUCAGCAGGUGAUGACUCAAGUAGUUGGGUCCAUGCCACACAUGUAGAAGACCUGGAUUGAGUUGCCCCUUCCUGGCUUCAGCCUGGCCUGGUCCCAGUCAUUGCAGGCAUUAGUGGAUGAGAACUUUCUCUCUCUGCCUUUCAAAUUUUUAAAAAUGAAAAAAUAAUACAGUAGCGUACGGCCCUUGUUGUCACUCCUUAUCCCUGAGGUGUGCUGGGUCUCUUGGGACAGUGUUGGCUUGUAGACCGACCUGGGGCGGGGGCAGGCAUUUAGCCUGAUCGCUGGCUCUGCUGUUGCUGCAUUCCACUGGGAAGUUCCUGUUUUCUGGUCUUUGUGACCCUCCUGGUUCAGUAUCCUGUGUGUGGGGAUCCUGCACUCCUCAUCCAUCUUGUCCCAAGCCCUGGAUCCUGUGUGGCUGUGGCUCGUGCUGUAUCAUGUUCCUGUUUCUCCAGGACUCACGGAGACUUCUCAGAGUUCUGAGACUGACCUGAGAGCCCCACCACACCAAGGCAUUCCUCAGCCGUUGCCAGGCUUCUCAUCCUUUCCCCGGGCUUCUGCAAUACAGUCCUGUAAACUGGGAGGCUUAUCAACAACACGACUUUAUUUCUCACAGGUCUGAAGGCCAGGAAGUCUGAGAUCAAGAUGCCAAUACAUUCAGUCUCUGAGCGUCUACUUCCUGGUUCACGGAUGGCGCCUUCUAGCUGUGUCCUCACACGGAAGAGAGAGAAGGCGAGAGAGGGCAAGAGCCCUCAAAGCUCUCUGUCCUGUAAGGGCCCUGAUCCCGUUCGUGCAGGAUGCACCUGCAAGACCUCCUUGUACCGUCACCUGGAGGUCUAAAAUUUUACCAUAUGAGUUUUGGGGGACACAGACAUUCAGAGCACAGCGCUAGGCAAUGUCUCUGUGACUGUGCUGGCGUGAGACUUGAACUCCUGAGCUCCCACUUGGGAAGCCAGGCGGUGGCCGCUUUGACCCUGGAGACCCUGUCAGUGUAUCUGGGGUUUCUCUCUCCCCUUCUAUCCAAGGCUUUUGAUCCACAGAGGGAGCCAUUGUAGAGGGCAUUCCCUAUAGAUCUGAACUGUGGGGUGUCCUGGGCUGACCCUUCUUUCGACAGUCAUUGAGCGCUUUCUCUUCCUCUUCCUCACCUCCUUUUCCUUCUCCUUCCUUUUGAAGUAAAAAAAAAAAAAAAAUGUGGUUUUCUUUUUUAAAGAUUUAUUUAGUAUUUGAUAGAGUUACACAGAAAGAAGAGAGGCAGAGAGAGGUCUUCCACCCUGGUUCACUCCCCAAUUGGCCACAAUGCCUGAAGCUGCACUAAUCCAGAGCCGUGCUAAUCCGGAGCCAGGAGCCUCUUCAGGGUCUCCCACGAGGGUGCAGGGGCCCAAGGACUUGGGCCAUCUUCCAUUGCUUUCCCAGGCCAUAGCAGAGAGCUGGAUCGGAAGUGGAGCAGCGGGAACUCGAACCAGUGCCUGUAUGGGAUGCCUGCACUGCAGACGGUGGGUAAUUUACCUGUUACGCACAGUGCCAGUCCCAAAAAACAUGGUUUUCAUCAUGCUACAUUACCCCCCUACCCUCCGUUUUUUAGUUCUUGGUGUAAACUCUGCUGAGCCUUUCAGGAUCCUUGUCUCUUAGGAACUCAACAUGUUGUUUCUCAACCUGCUGCCCGCAGUAGCCACAGAGCUUUGUUCCUAGGUGUUGUCUCCACUCCAGGCUCUAGAAAGUUUGCUGUGGAACUUAAAGGUGAGCAGAGAGUCCUGUGAUUUCACCUUGACUCCUGUCCCCAAGAGCAGUAUGUAAGGAAAACUGCUUUCAUUUGUUUGCUUGUAUUUUUCUAGAAAUGAACAUGAAACGCUUAAGAUCGGAAUUAACACACAGAUCAGUUUAGAAUUCUGUUUGCCUCCCCGCCCCCCCAUGUCCAUCUAAAUAAUGAAGGGAAGGGCAAGGGCUCCAGAAAGCAGCAGGAGAAACCUUGGAUGACAUCUCAGAAUAGCAUGCGCAAUGCCUCACCUAGGAGGAAGCAGCCUGGAGAGGUGCAGGAGCUGGCCCGAGACCACACUCCAGGGCCAGGAUGACUCCAGCCUCCUGCGGCUCUGCCUGGCUGUAAAACAAACGCUAGGGAGUGGGCGUGGGGUUUAAAAGGAAGGCGUUAUCAGUUUCAGAUGCUGCAGAGAGAUCCAGAAAGAUUAGCACAAGGACUGAGGCUUUUCCCAUCAGGGGUCCUCAGAAACCUUGCUGGGGGUUUGAUGCAUCCUGAAAACAUUUUAUUCUGCAUUUCCAGUUUCUGUGCUUUGAAUAAGUUCCUCACUAAAGUUCAUGUUAUGGAAACUUAAUUCCCAAAUUCAUAUGUUAAUAAUAUUUGGAGGUGAGGUCUGUGGGAGGUGAUUAGGAUUUAAUGAGGUCAUGGUGUUAGCGCCUUUAUGAGAAGGAGACCUGAGCUUGCAGCCUGCCCUGUCUCUCUGUGCGAUGCCCCCGGUGGUGCUAUGAAGCAGCAAGGAGGUCCUCACUGGGUGCUGGUGCCAUGCUGUUGGACGCCCCAGUCUCUAGAACUGUGAGCCCAGUAAACUCUGGGACUUUAUAAAUUGCCCAUUUUGUAGUAUUUAGUUAUAGCAACAGGAAAUGGAUAAAGCACCAGUAGUAAAAGAUUCUAAAGACUACACCUCGGGGAUGGGCAUUUAGCCUAGUGGUUAAGGUAUCCAUAUUCCACAUCAGAGUAUCUGCGUUCAGCACCCACCUCUGGCUCGUGACACCAGCUUCCUGCUAAUGUAGAUCCUGGGAGGCAGUAGUGAUGGCUCAAGUCCCUGUGUGGGAGACCUGUGUUGCAUUCCCAGCUCCUGGCUUUGGCUUGGCCCAGUUCUGGCCGUUGUGGGCAUUUGGGGAGUGAAUCAGCAGAAGGGAGCCCUCUGUCUAAUAAAUUUUUUUAAAAAAGACUGGAACAUCAGUAAGGAUAUCAGUACAUGAAAUCCUUGAGUAGUGGAAGUUGUGAAUUUGAAGUUAACAGCAAAAGAGGUGUUUUGAGUGGACAAAAGGGAUCGUGUUGAGGGUAUGAGGGUGCCCCAAAGUGCCUGUAGUAAGGAGCAUCAGAGAGAGGAAUCGCAGCUGAGAUUGCACAGCGGUGGACUCGAGACAGGCUCACAACUGCUAUCCGUGAAGGAAUCCUGUUUUGUAAAGCUUCCUUACAAACUCUUCUCAGCAGUGUCAGUUUGCAAGCUCUCCCUCACUGUGCGAGUGGCGCUGAGCAUGCGGUGUCUGUCACCCCAUCCUGGCAGGCCUGGCCUUGCUGUCCUCUUCUUGCAGGCGGAUUUUAUUUAUUCUGGUAUGCUCCUAAAAGCCCUGUGAUAGCCAAGUUUCUAAGCAAAAGGGCCUCAAAGAGAUCUGUCCCCUGAAGAGCCUCCUGCCGCACCGGGGCUCCCCUGAGUCUUGAAUUAGUGUGGGAGACCUGGAUUGAGAACUCCACGCCCAGCUUCAGUCCUGGCCCUCAGGGGCAUCUGGGGAAUGAGCCAGCAGGUCUCAGCAUAAAAAGCAGAGCAAGCCCGAGAGGAUGAGGAGAGAGCCUUCUCAUCCCUGUCUCUUCUCAGUCACAGGAACCUUGAGCCACAUCCAAAGGGUGCCUGGUGGCUGCUCGCAGACUUCUCAGCAUGACGACAGUAACUGCCGUGGGAAGUGGAUCUCCCAGGGGGCAACAAUCGCUGCAGGAAGCCCGGCUCUCCACAGUGCAGUCUUCUCUGUGGAUGCGACGGUGAAUUCUUGGUACCUGUGAAGCCCCAGCAGGUGUGCAAUUUCCAGAUGUAAACUAUCCUUAAAUUACAACUUUCCCAACCAACUAUGCAGCAGACGUACCUGCUCCUCUCUCGUGUUGAUGAAAAUGAGAUGUGAAGACUUGUCUUCACAGAAAAGUUUUGCAUCCUCAAAAAUGUCUUUCUCUACUGAAAAAUA